GGCAGACCAUCAUGGAGACGGCUGGAGUGCUCAUUCACCUGACACACAAGAGCACACCUUUACUGUCCUGAGACCCUCAGGUAACUACCAAGGAAGAACACAGACUCCAGUGGGCGUCUCUCAGGCAGACCAUCACGGCUGGAGUGUAUAUCCACCUAACACACAAGAGCACACCUUUUCUGUCCCGAGACCCUCAGGGGACCACCAAGGAAGAACACUGACUCCAGUGGGCGUCUCUCAGGCAGACGGCUGGAGUGCUCAUCCACCUGACACACAAGGU